CUGGAACAGGAGGAGCCAGAGGACCAGGGCCCCACCACUUUUAAAAGUGGGAGGACUAUGCGCUCACAAUUUUUACCGGCUCCUUGGGCCACCCCAGAUCUGUGCACGGAGGAGAACAUCACACCCUGAUCUUCUCCCAUAGGGUUGCAGAUGGAUCAGCCACCUCGGCAGCACUAUUUUUUCCUCCAACCCUAUAGCAGUCACCCCAUGGGUCUGGGGUCCACGUGGACGGAAGGGAUGAAGUAUGAUUAUCAAAAGUACCAGAACUCCAUUCCGGCUCCCCCUAAAAGUGCCAGAACAGCAUUCCAGAGCAUCCCAGCACGAUUCAAGCACUGGUACAAACACACAAAAGGAAACAGUUCCUGCCCUAAGGACCUUGUAAUCUACAAAGACAAAAGGAGUGGAGUGCAGUCAAAUUAUAUUCAGUUUUCUAUACACAUCAGACCUGAUC